rnacentral:rRNA from 1 species
GGCUACGGCCAUGCCACCCUGAACAAGCCCGAUCUCAUCUGAUCUCGGAAGCUAAGCAGGGUCGGGCCUGGUUAGUACUUGGAUGGGAGAUCACCUAGGAAGACCAGGUGCUGUAGGUG